rnacentral:rRNA from 1 species
CCUACGGGGGGCAGCAGUGAGGAAUAUUGGUCAAUGGACGAGAGUCUGAACCAGCCAAGUAGCGUGAAGGAUGACUGCCCUAUGGGUUGUAAACUUCUUUUAUAAAGGAAUAAAACGAGGCACGUGUGCCUUUUUGCAUGUACUUUAUGAAUAAGGAUCGGCUAACUCCGUGCCAGCAGCCGCGGUAAUACGGAGGAUCCGAGCGUUAUCCGGAUUUAUUGGGUUUAAAGGGAGCGUAGAUGGGUUGUUAAGUCAGUUGUGAAAGUUUGCGGCUCAACCGUAAAAUUGCAAUUGAUACUGGCAGUCGUGAGUACAGUUGAGGUAGGCGGAAUUCGUGGUGUAGCGGUGAAAUGCUUAGAUAUCACGAAGAACUCCGAUUGCGAAGGCAGCUUACUAAACUGCCACUGACAUUGAUGCUCGAAAGUGUGGGUAUCAAACAGGAUUAGAUACCCCUGUAGUC